rnacentral:rRNA from 1 species
GACGAACCUUGCUAACGUUAUUCGGAAUUACUGGGCGUAAAGGGCGCGUAGGCGGUUCGCUAAGUCGGAUGUGAAAACUCUGGGCUCAACCCAGAGCCUGCAUCCGAAACUGGCGGGCUAGAGUUCUGGAGGGGGUAGCGGAAUUCCUGGUGUAGCGGUGAAAUGCGUAGAUAUCAGGAGGAACACCAAUUGCGAAGGCAGCUCGCUGGGACGUUACUGACGCUGAGUGAGCGAAAGCCAGGGGAGCAAACGGG